GACGAACGCUGGCGGCGCGCCUAACACAUGCAAGUCGAACGGAGCCGAGAGAAGCUUGCUUUUCUUAGCUUAGUGGCGAACGGGUGAGUAACGCGUGAGUAACCUGCCCUGGAGUGGGGGACAACAGUUGGAAACGACUGCUAAUACCGCAUAAGCCCACGAUCCGGCAUCGGAUUGAGGGAAAAGGAUUUAUUCGCUUCAGGAUGGACUCGCGUCCAAUUAGCUAGUUGGUGAGGUAACGGCCCACCAAGGCGACGAUUGGUAGCCGGACUGAGAGGUUGAACCGCCACAAUUGGACUGAGACACGGCCCAGACUCCUACGGGAGGGAGCAGUGGGGGAUAUUGCACAAUGGGGGAAACCCUGAUGCAGCGACGCCGCGUGGAGGAAGAAGGUUUUCGGAUUGUAAACUCCUGUCGUUAGGGACGAUAAUGACGGUACCUAACAAGAAAGCACCGGCUAACUACGUG
rnacentral:rRNA from 1 species